GUAGGUGGCAAGCGUUGUCCGGAAUUAUUGGGCGUAAAGCGCGCGCAGGCGGUUCUUUAAGUCUGAUGUGAAAGCCCACGGGCUCAACCGUGGAGGGUCAUUGGAAACUGGAGAACUUGAGUACAGAAGAGGAAAGCGGAAUUCCACGUGUAGCGGUGAAAUGCGUAGAGAUGUGGAGGAACACCAGUGGCGAAGGCGGCUUUCUGGUCUGUAACUGACGCUGAGGCGCGAAAGCGUGGGGAGCAAACAGGAUUAGAUACCCUGGUAGUCCACGCCGUAAACGAUGAGUGCUAAGUGUUAGGGGGUUUCCGCCCCUUAGUGCUGCAGCUAACGCAUUAAGCACUCCGCCUGGGGAGUACGGCCGCAAAGGCUGA
rnacentral:rRNA from 1 species